rnacentral:rRNA from 1 species
UGACGAGUGGCGGACGGGUGAGUAAUGCUUGGGAACUUGCCUUUGCGAGGGGGAUAACAGUUGGAAACGACUGCUAAUACCGCAUAAUGUCUUCGGACCAAACGGGGCUUCGGCUCCGGCGCAAAGAGAGGCCCAAGUGAGAUUAGCUAGUUGGUAAGGUAACGGCUUACCAAGGCGACGAUCUCUAGCUGUUCUGAGAGGAAGAUCAGCCACACUGGGACUGAGACACGGCCCAGACUCCUACGGGAGGCAGCAGUGGGGAAUAUUGCACAAUGGGGGAAACCCUGAUGCAGCCAUGCCGCGUGUGUGAAGAAGGCCUUCGGGUUGUAAAGCACUUUCAGUUGUGAGGAAAAGUUAGUAGUUAAUACCUGCUAGCCGUGACGUUAACAACAGAAGAAGCACCGGCUAACUCCGUGCCAGCAGCCGCGGUAAUACGGAGGGUGCGAGCGUUAAUCGGAAUUACUGGGCGUAAAGCGCACGCAGGCGGUUUGUUAAGCUAGAUGUGAAAGCCCCGGGCUCAACCUGGGAUGGUCAUUUAGAACUGGCAGACUAGAGUCUUGGAGAGGGGAGUGGAAUUCCAGGUGUAGCGGUGAAAUGCGUAGAUAUCUGGAGGAACAUCAGUGGCGAAGGCGAC